CACGUAGGGCGCGAGCGUUGUCCGGAAUUAUUGGGCGUAAAGGGUGCGUAGGCGGCAUGGUAAGUCAGAGGUGAAAUCCCGGAGCUCAACUUCGGAAUUGCCUCCGAUACUGCCAUGCUUGAGGACUGGAGAGGAGAUUGGAAUUCACAGUGGAGCAGUGAAAUGCGUAGAUAUUGUGAGGAACACUAGUGGCGAAGGCGAAUCUCUGGACAGUUCCUGACGCUGAGGCACGAAGGCCAGGGGAGCAAACGGG
rnacentral:rRNA from 1 species